CUAUCGACAGGCUUAACACAUGCAAGUCGAGGGGCAGCACAGGUAGCAAUACCGGGUGGCGACCGGCGCACGGGUGAGUAACGCGUAUGCAACUUACCUAUCAGAGGGGGAUAACCCGGCGAAAGUCGGACUAAUACCGCAUGAAGCAGGGGCCCCGCAUGGGGAUAUUUGCUAAAGAUUCAUCGCUGAUAGAUAGGCAUGCGUUCCAUUAGGCAGUUGGCGGGGUAACGGCCCACCAAACCGACGAUGGAUAGGGGUUCUGAGAGGAAGGUCCCCCACAUUGGUACUGAGACACGGACCAAACUCCUACGGGAGGCAGCAGUGAGGAAUAUUGGUCAAUGGCCGAGAGGCUGAACCAGCCAAGUCGCGUGAGGGAUGAAGGUUCUAUGGAUCGUAAACCUCUUUUAUAAGGGAAUAAAGUGCGGGACGUGUCCCGUUUUGUAUGUACCUUAUGAAUAAGGAUCGGCUAACUCCGUGCCAGCAGCCGCGGUAAUACGGAGGAUUCGAGCGUUAUCCGGAUUUAUUGGGUUUAAAGGGUGCGUAGGCGGCCUUUUAAGUCAGCGGUGAAAGUCUGUGGCUCAACCAUAGAAUUGCCGUUGAAACUGGGGGGCUUGAGUAUGUUUGAGGCAGGCGGAAUGCGUGGUGUAGCGGUGAAAUGCAUAGAUAUCACGCAGAACCCCGAUUGCGAAGGCAGCCUGCCAAGCCAUGACUGACGCUGAUGCACGAAAGCGUGGGGAUCAAACAGGAUUAGAUACCCUGGUAGUCCACGCAGUAAACGAUGAUCACUAGCUGUUUGCGAUACACAGUAAGCGGCACAGCGAAAGCGUUAAGUGAUCCACCUGGGGAGUACGCCGGCAACGGUGAAACUCAAAGGAAUUGACGGGGGCCCGCACAAGCGGAGGAACAUGUGGUUUAAUUCGAUGAUACGCGAGGAACCUUACCCGGGUUUGAACGCAUUCGGACCGAGGUGGAAACACCUUUUCUAGCAAUAGCCGUUUGCGAGGUGCUGCAUGGUUGUCGUCAGCUCGUGCCGUGAGGUGUCGGCUUAAGUGGCAUAACGAGCGCAACCCUUGCCACUAGUUACUAACAGGUGAUGCUGAGGACUCUGGUGGGACUGCCAGCGUAAGCUGCGAGGAAGGCGGGGAUGACGUCAAAUCAGCACGGCCCUUACAUCCGGGGCGACACACGUGUUACAAUGGCGUGGACAAAGGGAGGCCACCUGGCGACAGGGAGCGAAUCCCCAAACCACGUCUCAGUUCGGAUCGGAGUCUGCAACCCGACUCCGUGAAGCUGGAUUCGCUAGUAAUCGCGCAUCAGCCAUGGCGCGGUGAAUACGUUCCCGGGCCUUGUACACACCGCCCGUCAAGCCAUGGGAGUCGGGGGUACCUGAAGUCCGUAACCGCGAGGAUCGGCCUAGGGUAAAACUGGUGACUGGGGCU
rnacentral:rRNA from 1 species